UUGUAUUGUAGGUACAGUAUGUAGUGGUGUUGUAUUGUAGGUACAGUAUGUAGUGGUGUUGUAUUGUAGGUACAGUAUGUAGUGGUGUUGUAUUGUAGGUACAGUAUGUAGUGGUGUUGUAUUGUAGGUACAGUAUGUAGUGGUGUUGUAUUGUAGGUACAGUAUGUAGUGGUGUUGUAUUGUAGGUACAGUAUGUAGUGGUGUUGUAUUGUAGGUACAGUAUGUAGUGGUGUUGUAUUGUAGGUACAGUAUGUAGUGGUGUUGUAGGUACAGUAUGUAGUGGUGUUGUAUUGUAGAUACAGUAUGUAGUGGUGUUGUAGAUACAGUAUGUAGUGGUGUUGUAGGUACAGUAUGUAGUGGUGUUGUAGGUACAGUAUGUAGUGGUGU